GACGAACGCUGGCGGCGUGCUUAACACAUGCAAGUCGAACGGAAAGGCCCUGCUUGCAGGGUACUCGAGUGGCGAACGGGUGAGUAACACGUGGGUGAUCUGCCCUGCACUUCGGGAUAAGCCUGGGAAACUGGGUCUAAUACCGGAUAGGAGCCAUUUUUAGUGUGAUGGUUGGAAAGUUUUUUCGGUGUAGGAUGAGCUCGCGGCCUAUCAGCUUGUUGGUGGGGUAAUGGCCUACCAAGGCGGCGACGGGUAGCCGGCCUGAGAGGGUGGACGGCCACAUUGGGACUGAGAUACGGCCCAGACUCCUACGGGAGGCAGCAGUGGGGAAUAUUGCACAAUGGGCGCAAGCCUGAUGCAGCGACGCCGCGUGGGGGAGGACGGCCUUCGGGUUGUAAACUCCUUUCGCUAGGGACGAAGCUUUUUGUGACGGUACCUAGAUAAGAGGCACCGGCUAACUACG
rnacentral:rRNA from 1 species